rnacentral:rRNA from 1 species
AUACGUAGGGUGCAAGCGUUAAUCGGAAUUACUGGGCGUAAAGCGUGCGCAGGCGGUUUUGUAAGACAGUGGUGAAAUCCCCGGGCUCAACCUGGGAACUGCCAUUGUGACUGCAAGGCUGGAGUGCGGCAGAGGGGGAUGGAAUUCCGCGUGUAGCAGUGAAAUGCGUAGAUAUGCGGAGGAACACCGAUGGCGAAGGCAAUCCGCUGGGCCUGCACUGACGCUCAUGCACGAAAGCGUGGGGAGCAAACAGGAUUAGAUACCCUGGUAGUCCACGCCCUAAACGAUGUCAACUGGUUGUUGGGUCUUCAUUGACUCAGUAACGAAGCUAACGCGUGAAGUUGACCGCCUGGGGAGUACGGCCGCAAGGUUGAAACUCAAAUGAAUUGACGGGG